rnacentral:lncRNA from 1 species
UUUUAUUCCUGCCCUGCUGGGAUCAAGCAGCUGUUUAGGAGUUUAUACUCACUUGGUCUUAGUGCUUGGUCCGAAAGUUAGAGACCUGUCUUCUACUCCUGCUUCCAAACAAAAAGUUGCCUAAGUUUGAGCUUAUCAGUUACUCUUUAUACUUCCUUCUCUCAUAAAAUGGACAGUAACUUGGAUUUAAAGUAUGUAAAGAAUCAAACCCACUUUUAAGAAAAUACCUAGUUUUUCUGGAUGCUCUUGCACUUGUAACAUGUAUUAUUUCUUUUGAUUGGCAUCUGCUUAGAAAGAAAUCACAAAGUAGUUGACCAUUCAGACUUGUCACCUUUUUUUUUGCAUUUUAAAUUCAGGGGGUACAUGAGCAGGUUUGUUACCUGAGUAUAGUGUAUGAUACUGAGGUUUGGGUACAAUUGAUCCUGUCAGUGAGGUACUGAGCAUAGUACCCAAUACUUAGUCUUUCAAUUCUUGCCCCUUUCCAUGCUCCUCAUACCAGUAGUACCCGGUUUCUGUUGUUGCCAUUUUUAUGUUCAUCAAUACCCAUUGUUUAGCUCCCACUUCUAAGUAAGAACAUGCAGUAUGUGAUUUUCUGUUCCUUUGUUGAUUCACUUAUGAUAAUGGACUCCAGCUGCAUCCAUGUUGCUGCAAAGGACAUGAUUUUGUUCUUUUUUAUGGCUAUGUAGUGUUCCACAGUGUAUAUGUACUAGAUUUUAAGAAUCCAAUCCACUAUUGAUGGCCACCUAGGUUGAUUCCAUGUCUUCGCUAUUGUGACUAGUGCUGUGAUGAACAUGCAGGUGUAUGUGUCUUUUUGGUAGAAAGAUUUGUUUUCUUUUGGGUAUAUAUCCAGUGACGGAAUUGUUGGGUCAAACGGUAGUUCUUUCAAGUUUUUUUGAAAAAUCUUCAGAAUACCUUCCAAAGUGGCUGGACUAAUUUAUAUUCCUGCCAAUGCCAUUAAAAAUGGCACCCUGAUCUCAGUUAUGAGUCUAGGGAAAUGUCUGCAGCUUUUCCUGGUGUCUUUCCCUUACAGUGUCUCCAAGCCUCUCCCCAAGUUAGCUCUAGGACUUGGGGGAGACAAAGUGUUCUCCCUUGGCCUGGGUUGCUCAGAUCCCCAGUGGAAAGAGAAUCCUACUGUGUCCUAUAGACACUGAGCUUGGCCCUGAGACCCUGGCUGGUGGAAGGUGGAUAGAAGGGAUGCUGUGCUAGCUCUGAGUA